UGGCUGGCAGCUAGGAGGAGGGAGACAUGACGCUGACGGCCCUGCAUUGCUGCUUCCUCCAGCUGAAUCUACCACCCUGACUUGGUCUCCUGGAGAAAGCCCUGGAGCAGACACCAGCCCUGGCUCGCUGCAGCCUUCGAGCCCCACUCUCUCCUCUGGACCUCAGUUUCGCCAUCCAUCCAAUGGUGACCACUCAGUCACUGCCAGAUCCUGAGCAGAUCCGUCCUGGCCCUGGGGAGUGGACCAUCAGGGGGCAGGGCUGGCCAGUGAGCAGAGAGCUGGCGGUGACAUGGGCUCAGCACAGAGCACCACGUGGGGCCUGGGAGGAGCCAUGAGAGCCGGCAGCCCUGCCUGUCCUCCAGAUGAAAGCGAGGCCCGCAGCCUGAGAGGGAGGGAGGAGACGCUAAUUACGCCCAGCGCGGGGCUCCCCAGGCAGCCUCAGCCACAGGAUCAAACACCGCCUUCCUCAGCCACGCGCCCGCCCUGCCCUGCAGGAGCAGUCACGGAGCUGCGACACCACCAGAGCUGGGACACCACCAGAGCUGCGAGACCACCAGAGCUGUGACACCACCAGAGCCGGGACACCACCAGAGCCGGGACACCACCAGAGCCGGGACACCACCAGAGCUCCGAGACCACCAGAGCUGCCACACCACCAGAGCUGUGACACCACCAGAGCCGUGACACCACCAGAGCCGGGACACCACCAGAGCCGGGACACCACCAGAGCCGCGAGACCACCAGAGCCGUGACACCACCAGAGCCGGGACACCACCAGAGCUGGGACACCACCAGAGCUGCGAGACCACCAGAGCUGGGACACCACCAGAGCUGCCACACCACCAGAGCUGCGACAGCACCAGAGCCGGGACACCAGCAGAGCCGGGACACCACCAGAGCCGCAACACCACCAGAGCUGCGACACCAGCAGAGCCGCGACACCAGCAGAGCCGGGACACCACCAGAGCCGUGACACCAGCAGAGCCGGGACACCACCAGAGCUGCGAGACCACCAGGGCCGGGACACCACCAGGGCCGGGACACCACCAGAGCUGCGAGACCACCAGGGCCGGGACACCACCAGAGCCGGGACACCACCAGAGCUGCGAGACCACCAGGGCCGUGACACCACCAGAGCCGGGACACCACCAGAGCUGGGACACCACCAGAGCUGCGAGACCACCAGAGCUGGGACACCACCAGAGCUGCCACACCACCAGAGCUGCGACACCAGCAGAGCCGCGACACCAGCAGAGCCGGGACACCAGCAGAGCCGGGACACCACCAGAGCCGUGACACCAGCAGAGCCGGGACACCACCAGGGCCGGGACACCAGCAGAGCCGGGACACCACCAGAGCCGUGACACCAGCAGAGCCGGGACACCACCAGGGCCGGGACACCACCAGAGCUGCGAGACCACCAGGGCCGGGACACCACCAGAGCCGGGACACCACCAGAGCUGGGACACCACCAGAGCUGCGAGACCACCAGAGCCGUGACACCACCAGAGCCGUGACACCAGCAGAGCUGGGACACCACCAGAGCUGUGAGACCACCAGAGCCGGGACACCACCAGAGCCGGGACACCACCAGAGCUGCGAGACCACCAGAGCCGUGACACCAGCAGAGCCGGGACACCACCAGAGCCGGGACACCACCAGAGCCGGGACACCACCAGAGCUCCGAGACCACCAGAGCUGCCACACCACCAGAGCUGUGACACCACCAGAGCUGUGACACCACCAGAGCCGGGACACCACCAGAGCCGGGACACCACCAGAGCUGCGAGACCACCAGAGCUGGGACACCACCAGAGCUGGGACACCACCAGAGCCGGGACACCACCAGAGCUCCGAGACCACCAGAGCUGCCACACCACCAGAGCUGUGACACCACCAGAGCCGGGACACCACCAGAGCCGGGACACCACCAGAGCCGGGACACCACCAGAGCUGUGACACUGUGGCUUCAGUAAAGCUGUUUCUUCUACCACUGGCUUGCCCUUGCAUUCUUUCCUGGGUGAAGCCAAAAACCCAGAGGGCUAAACUCCACUUUCGGGCUCGCCUGCCUGCAUCAUAACCAUCAGGCCUGGAGAGCCGGGUCUCUUGAGAGUAAACUGCCGUGAGAUUCUACAGGAACUCUGCCUCUCCUCUGGGCUGAGCUGUUCUGCCUCAGUUUCCUCACUAACAAAAUGGGGUGACAUCUUGAGGUGGCCCCUCUCGGUGCUGCCAGCCUCUCUGCUCCCCACUCUUUUUGGGCAGCCCUCAAGGCCCUCG
rnacentral:lncRNA from 1 species